rnacentral:rRNA from 1 species
GACGAACGCUGGCGGCGUGCCUAAUACAUGCAAGUCGAGCGGACAGACGGGAGCUUGCUCCCUGAUGUUAGCGGCGGACGGGUGAGUAACACGUGGGUAACCUGCCUGUAAGACUGGGAUAACUCCGGGAAACCGGGGCUAAUACCGGAUGGUUGUCUGAACCGCAUGGUUCAGACAUAAAAGGUGGCUUCGGCUACCACUUACAGAUGGACCCGCGGCGCAUUAGCUAGUUGGUGAGGUAACGGCUCACCAAGGCAACGAUGCGUAGCCGACCUGAGAGGGUGAUCGGCCACACUGGGACUGAGACACGGCCCAGACUCCUACGGGAGGCAGCAGUAGGGAAUCUUCCGCAAUAGACGAAAGUCUGACGGAGCAACGCCGCGUGAGUGAUGAAGGUUUUCGGAUCGUAAAGCUCUGUUGUUAGGGAAGAACAAGUGCCGUUCAAAUAGGGCGGCACCUUGACGGUACCUAACCAGAAAGCCACGGCUAACUACGUG